rnacentral:lncRNA from 1 species
GAGAAAGAAAAAAGCCUAAGCCUUUUUUCACCUUAAAAAACUCUAUUGUACUUAAAAGUAUCACAAAUUUGAAUGAAACUAGCUAUGUGUUGGUGUGGAUCUUCACUAGGCAAUCCUCCAAAUUGAUAAACAUGUUGGAUCAAGUGUAGUACUGUUGGCUUGAUCUUAAAGUUGUUAGCUUGAACAAUAAGCCUCAAAAUGCUUGGACUUGUGCCUUCCAAUGAU